UGCACCGUCCUUGUCCCUGCCCAUGCC
rnacentral:piRNA from 1 species